UGUGUUUCUCCAGGCUGGUAUAUUGGUCUCACCUGUGACUCCUGUUAAAAUGCAGAUGCCGAAGAUGGCCUCCGAACUGUGGCAUCUGUGUUUUGAAGAUACUCCAGAGAACUCAGACCGAGAGUCAGACUCACAGAAGACCAUGAAUUGGACUCAGGACACCUUUCUGAAGAUGACUGAGAACCCAAGGCCAUAAGAGUGAGGUACAAAGGCCACUGCCAGACUCAGGAGAUGCCCUGGAAGAGCACCAGAAUCCAAGUCAGGUUUGCUUUCAGCCAAAAAGCUCCCUGUCCCAGCGGGUGUCCCAGCGGGUGUCCCAGCGGGUGUCCCAGCGGGUGUCCCAGCAGAGUUCUCCUGCCUGGUGAGGCCAAGCUCACUCUGAACACUGGCUCAGAAGGGGAAGAAACUGAACUCCUGAACAGUGCACUUAAGUGCAUUUAAACGGCUAUAUCAAAUCUGUGUUUCUUUAGCCAGCCUGCUCAGCGGUCUUUUUAUAUUCUUUUACGGUAGUGGCUCUCAACCUUCCUAAUGUUGAAACUUUUUAAUACAGUUCCUCAUGUUAUAUAAUACAGUGACCCUCAAUCGUUA